GGCAACAAAUAUUGUUUCUGAAUUUCUAGAGAGCGGCUUUAACUAUCCAAAUUGGAGUGCUUGCAUGAAGAAUUAUUUAAUGGCUAAUGAUCUCUGGGACAUUGUUGAAGCAACUACUGAAGCUCCAAAUCCAGAAGAGGCCGAAGCUGAAUUUAAGGCUUGGAGAAAGAAGAAUGCUGCUGCUUUACAUGCUAUUCAAAUAUCA
rnacentral:misc_RNA from 1 species